AACAAACUCUCACUUUCGAAAUGA
rnacentral:siRNA from 1 species